UCUCCUGUCCUCAAUAGAUGACUUCCAGCGGAGUAGGCGACGUCAACAUACCCAGCUGGGCAUCCUCAGACAAAUUUAUAGCAGUUUAACAGAACAGCAAGUUACAGUGUCCAAGAAAUACCAACGAUUUGCAAAAUAGAAUAAACACCGCAAAAUGUUAUACUUAUUUAAAAAAAUUUGGUCGGUUGUCCGAGUGACCUCGACAACUCAGUCAAAAACAAGAAUGAACGCUAUAGUCGACGGCCUCGAAUAUUACAUACCCGUUACUCAACUAAAGGAAGUGGAAGGGAGAAGGAGAUAUGCAGCAUUUCGGCUGUUUCCGAGAUUAAACACUUUGUUUGCCAAAACCCAUCUUUCUAGCUUUUAUAGUUCCCGAGAUCUCGGCGCUCAUACGAACGGUCAGGCAGAACCUAUAAAAAAUUGAAGUUUUCUUAUUUAAUUAGAUAUAACCGGAUAUACAUACAUAAAUAUACACAGAGUUAUACAAGUUGGUUGUUUUGUUCGAUUCAUUCAAUUGUGUAGCUUAAGCCUAUAGAAUAAUUCAUUACUUUAUUUUGGAAUAUAUUUAUUAUGCAUAGAUAAGUCUUUUCCAUCAUAGGUAAUGCCUUCGUAGAAGAACUUUCGAUUUGAGCGGCAUUGAGGACCACAUCUGGUAGAGCCACAACUACGGCACUCAUACCAACAACCUUCACAUUCUUUAUUUAAGCAGUCGCCUGAAAAUAAACAUAUUUUAUUUUAAA